UGGUGGCUUGUCGCUCAUUUCCGCAAGGAGCUGAGAGGAAAGUCCGGGCAACACAGAGCAUCGCAUUUCUUAACGGGAAGCCGGGGGGGACCUCGGGGUUAAGGUGACAGAAAACAACCGCCCACGCGCAUUUUGCGCAUGGGUAAGGGUGAAAAGGCGAGGUAAGAGCUCACCGGGCGCGAUGGCGACAUUGCGUGCCGCACCACCUGCGAGUUGCAAGAUCAAGUAUAUCGGCAUCUAAGGGUUGCUCGUCCAUUGCCGAGGGGUAGAUUGCUAUAUCGUGGUGGCAACAUCACGGACAGAUAAAUGACAGGCGGCACGGAGAAAUCCGUUGUUACAUAACCCGGCUUAUAGCCAUGCU
rnacentral:RNase_P_RNA from 1 species